UUCCGCCGGCGGGAGGGCGGUGCUGCUGCCGCCGCCAUUUCGGGGCGCGUCCCCCCGCCCCGGCAGCCGAGGGGCGGGACGGGACGGAAGGCUCUUCUCCUGUCCAGCGCCUUCCACCCGGAGUGGUUUUCUUUUACAUGAAGUGCCACGUGUUCGGUCCUUGAACACCUCCCGGGAAUGUGACUCCACCACCUCCGUGGGCAGUCUAUUCCGAUGUUUAACCGCGCUUUCUGUUAAGAAAUCCCUCCUGAUGUCCAGCCUUAACCUUCCCUGGACGAGCUUGAGGCCAUGUCCUCUUGUCCUGUCGCUUGUUGCGUGGGAGAAGAGACAGAUACCCAGCUGGCUACUGCCUCCUCUCAUGUCUGUAUGAAGUUGGAACACACUAAAAUUAAGAGUUGCACAAGUUGUAGCUGAAGGGGCCAUUGAAAAACUUUGAUAGGCUCUGGAGCUUUAAGGAAAAACAGGACCAGUAUAAUGAGAUCCACAACCCAUCACAAACACUGGCAAUGCUACUUCAAAUGGCUUCACUUCACUUCACUGAUGUCAGCAAGGACUUUGUAUACACAAAUAUGGAGAUUGCAAUCUUGACUCUGGAAACACUGGAACCUUGAAAUGGUAAAACUGGCUUCUUGUGUUCGGGACAGCUUAGUCCAAUUACAGAUGAGUGAAAGAAAUUAGUUUGAUGAAGAUUGGACCAGUUGCUUCUUCAUCUGAUUGAAUAUCUGUUCACCCUUGUGUGUCCAAGGACAGCAGCAAGUCUUUCUCUCUGUGAGUAUUUUCAUCAGGAUGUCUCAUGGUUGCAAGAAUACAU